rnacentral:rRNA from 1 species
UGGUGAAUUUUGGACAAUGGGCGAAAGCCUGAUCCAGUAAUGCCGCGUGUGUGAAGAAGGCCUUCGGGUUGUAAAGCACUUUUGUCCGGAAAGAAAUCCUUGGCUCUAAUACAGUCGGGGGAUGACGGUACCCGGAAGAAUAAGCACCGGCUAACUACGUGCCAGCAGCCGCGGUAAUACGUAGGGUGCAAGCGUUAAUCGGAAUUACUGGGCGUAAAGCGUGCGCAGGCGGUUUGCUAAGACCGAUGUGAAAUCCCCGGGCUCAACCUGGGAACUGCAUUGGUGACUGGCAGGCUAGAGUAUGGCAGAGGGGGGUAGAAUUCCACGUGUAGCAGUGAAAUGCGUAGAGAUGUGGAGGAAUACCGAUGGCGAAGGCAGCCCCCUGGGCCAAUACUGACGCUCAUGCACGAAAAGCGUGGGGAGCAAAACAGGAUUAGAUACCCCUGGUAGUCCACGCCCUAAAACGAUGUCAACUAGUUGUUGGGGAUUCAUUUCCUUAGUAACGUAGCUAACGCGUGAAGUUGACCGCCUGGGGAGUACGGUCGCAAGAUUAAAACUCAAAUGAAUU